AUUGAACGCUAGCGGGAUGCUUUACACAUGCAAGUCGAACGGCAGCGCGGACUUCGGUCUGGCGGCGAGUGGCGAACGGGUGAGUAAUGUAUCGGAACGUGCCCAGUAGCGGGGGAUAACUACGCGAAAGCGUAGCUAAUACCGCAUACGCCCUACGGGGGAAAGCAGGGGAUCGUAAGACCUUGCACUAUUGGAGCGGCCGAUAUCGGAUUAGCUAGUUGGUGAGGUAACGGCUCACCAAGGCGACGAUCCGUAGCUGGUUUGAGAGGACGACCAGCCACACUGGGACUGAGACACGGCCCAGACUCCUACGGGAGGCAGCAGUGGGGAAUUUUGGACAAUGGGGGCAACCCUGAUCCAGCCAUCCCGCGUGUGCGAUGAAGGCCUUCGGGUUGUAAAGCACUUUUGGCAGGAAAGAAACGUCGCGGGCUAAUACCCCGUGGAACUGACGGUACCUGUAGAAUAAGCACCGGCUAACUACGUG
rnacentral:rRNA from 1 species